rnacentral:rRNA from 1 species
UACGAAGGGGGCUAGCGUUGCUCGGAAUCACUGGGCGUAAAGCGCACGUAGGCGGCUUUCUAAGUCAGGGGUGAAAUCCUGGGGCUCAACUCCAGAACUGCCUUUGAUACUGGAGAGCUCGAGUCCGGAAGAGGUGAGUGGAACUGCGAGUGUAGAGGUGAAAUUCGUAGAUAUUCGCAAGAACACCAGUGGCGAAGGCGGCUCACUGGUCCGGUACUGACGCUGAGGUGCGAAAGCGUGGGGAGCAAACAGG